AUGCUUCUCCGCCCGGCCCCCUCCCCGCCGCCGCCCCGCUUCCCCGCGGCCAGCAGGAGCGCCGCCCCCGCCACCGCGCCCUUCUUCCUCGUGCUGCGGCGCCGGCAGCGCCGGCGCCNNNNNNGCCCGCACGCCCGCCUCCGCGCCUCCCUCUCCGACCUCCUCGCCAGCCUCCCGGCCUCGCUCGCGCUCGUCGGCCCCGCGGCUGCGGCCGCCGCGGCCGCCGUCGUAUCCUCCAUCGCCUCCCCGUCCUCCUACCUCCGGAGCGGCCUCCCUCCCCCCAGCUCCCCCGAUCACGAGUCCGACGACGCCGCCGCCGCCGGCGAGUGGAUCCUCUUCACCAGCCCGACGCCCUUCAACCGCUGCGUGCUGCUGCGGUGCCCGUCCGUGUCCUUCGAGGACGGGGGCGUGCUGCUCGACGGCAUCAACGAGCGCCUGCUCACCCAGGACCGCCACUACGUCAACCUCAGCCGGGGCAGCAUCCCCGCCGCGCCCGCCGGGCAGGGCGCCGGCGAGGUGUCCUACCAGCGGCUCUGCAUCCCCCUGGAGGACGGCGGGGUGAUCGCGCUUGACUGGCCCGCUAAUCUGGAUCUGGACAAGGAGCAUGGGCUCGAUUCCACGGUGCUCCUCGUGCCCGGUACCCCCGAGGGCAGCAUGGACAGGGGCAUCGAGAUGUUCGUGCUGGAUGCGCUCAAGAAUGGCUACUUCCCCAUUGUCAUGAACCCCAGAGGCUGCGGCGGAUCACCGCUUACUACGCCAAGGUUAUUUACAGCAGCUGACAGUGAUGACAUCUGCACAACGAUCCGCUUUAUAAACAGCAAAAGGCCAUGGACGACAAUAAUGGGUGUUGGGUGGGGUUAUGGUGCCAAUAUGCUGACAAAGUACCUUGUGGAAGCUGGAGAGUCUACUCCUCUUACGGCUGCUGUUUGUAUUGACAAUCCUUUUGACCUACAGGAAGCAACAAGAACAUUUCCUCAUAAUAUCGCUCUUGAUCAAAAGCUCACAACUGGCUUGGUUGAUAUUCUGCGUGCGAAUAAGGAACUCUUUCAAGGAAAGGAUAAAGACUUUGAUGUCCAAAAGGCUUUAUCGGCGAACUGUUUGCGUGACUUUGAUGGAGCAAUAUCCAUGGUUUCACAUGGGUUUGCUAAUGUUGAUGACUUCUAUUCGGAAAAUAGCGUGAGGCCUUCAGUUGCCAGUUUGAAAAUACCUGUUCUCUUUAUACAGAGUGAUGAUGGGACUGUGCCACUUAUGUCAGUACCGCGUAGUUCAAUAUCAGAAAAUCCUUUUACCAGCCUUCUCCUUUGUUCUUGUGUACACUCAACUGGAUUCACCUUUGAGAGAUACACUGAAUUAUGGUGCCAGAAUCUUACCCUAGAGUGGUUGUCAGCAGUGGAGUUUGCUCUUCUUAAGGGUCGUCAUCCGCUUAUCAAAGAUGUGGAUAUCACCGUUAACCCAUCCAAAGGUCUAGCAUUCACCGUACCUCAACCGAAUGAUAAUAAGGUCCCCAAAGAGGACAAUUUUCAUGAGCAAGCUCAGUUUUUUCUCUCUAAUAAUUUUCCCCAUGGAAUAAAUGGGCUGCUCAAUGAUUCUGCAAAUGGAUAUUCUGGUGCUCAAAAUAGCAAAAAUGGCCUGUUAAAAGAUAAUGGUGAUAUAGGCAGAAUAAUCAAAGAGGCUGAUGAACAGGAGCCAGAAGAGAUUCCUGAAGAUAUUGAAAAAGGUCAUGUAUCUGGUGCUCAAAAUAGCAAAAAUGGGCUGUUAAAAGAUAAUGGUGAUGUAGGCAGGAUAAUCAAAGAGGCUGAUGAAGAGGAGCCAGAAGAGAUUCCUGAAGAUGUUGAAAAAGGUCAUGUACUACAAUCAGCAGGUCUUGUGAUGAAUAUGCUGGAUGCUACAAUGCCUGGCACUCUGGAUGAUGAUCAAAAGAACAAGGUUCUGGUGGCAGUAGAACAAGGUGAAUCUCUUGUAAAAGCUCUAGAAGAAGCUGUACCUGAAGAUGUGCGUGAAAAGCUUACGUCGUCUGUGACUGAAAUUUUACAAUCUAAACGACACAAUUUCAAUUUGGAUGCAUUGAAGCGCGGCUGGACCAAUGCAAGAUCAACCACCAAGACUGUUGUCCAAGAAAAGGUCAAAGAGUCAGACCAUGAGAGUGGAGCUAAGGAUGCCAAAAUUCUUGACCAGAACAGGAGUGUUACAUCCAUUGGUGAGGGAGACCAAAAAGAGACUAAUCUGACCUCAAACGACAACAAUUCUGCUGAUGGUAUCGAUUUAUCACAAGCAAAGCCUGUAGGAACUGGAAUCGAAAUGGGAAGUGAACAGACUCAACUCGAUAAAUCUGAGAAAGAUAACUCUGGAGUGAAUGAAAGCAGUGAAGAGAAGCAAGAGGCCGAUCAGGGCAGUGUAACAGAACCAAAGCAUCUUUCCAAUGAUCCAUCAACAGCCAACUCAAAAGGAACUCCCAAGGAGCAAGUGCAGUCGGCAGAUGCUACAGCAGAGCAGAAUCCACAGUCCAAUAUGGUAGACAAGGAAGUUGAUGUAGUUCAUGCCAAUGAAGAUACGGUUGCACUUAAUGUUGUUGAUCAGAGCACACAAAUCUCUAAAACAGAAGAAUCUAAACAUCCGUCCGUUAAUAAUGUGAGACAGGCAUUGGAUGCCUUAACUGAUUUUGAUGACUCGACUCAAAUGGCUGUCAAUAGUGUGUUCGGAGUUAUUGAAAAUAUGAUUGACCAGUUUCAAAAGCACAAGGACUCUGAGGACAGGGAGAAUUCUGCUGGAGCCACCGAUAAACCUCCUGUUGAUGAGACAAAGUCUGAUGUGAUGGUGGAUGUGGACAAUGAGUUAAGUGGAAAGGACAAAAAUCCAUCAUCAUCUGGUGAAUCACAACAUAAUACUUCUGUUAAAGCUCGUUCAAUCAUGUCUGAAGAUCAUAAUUUUAGUGAGAAAAAAUCUGAUUUGAACACUGUCCCACCUUCGAAAGGAAAAAUCAGAAAUUCUCAAAGAAAUAUACCUGGAAAUGAUGUUGAUGGUGAUGUUGCAAAGAUAGUGAGUGGCUCACCUGAUUACUUGUUGGACGUAGCUGCCAGUUCUUAUUUGAAGGUGCAGUAUGCUUUGUACCUUCAUGAAUAUCUUACAAGGCAACUGCAACUUGAGUCACCAGAUUUGAACUCGGCAACUGAUCUUUUCCUUGAUCCGCAAGAGGGUAAAUGGAAACUAGCAGAUCAAAUGGACAAUGUGCAAGGUGACAUUUCUAUAUCUGGAAAAUAUAGCUUCGUUAAUGAAGGGAUCAAGCAUGCAGAUUCUUCCCAAGCUCCACCUAGGACAGGCAAUGUUAUUUUGCCACCAUACUCAGCUCUGCGAAAUUUUGCAGACUCUGAAACCAAAAGGAAGGUAAUUGAGAAGUUGCCUGGUAAUGCUUUGAGACAGACACUCACAUACUUUAUUAGUGAUGAGUUAACAAAUACUCUCAAAACUGAAGUUGGUCGCAGACUGGGGAUAACAAAAGCUGAGAAACUUCAAAGAAGUCUUGCACAUGAUGUAGAACGACUCGCUACUCAAGUUUCUAGAACUAUUGUCCAUGACUCUGAGUUAUACAGAGCAACAUCUGUGCAGAGGAAUCCAACGACUGUGAAAUUUGGUGUGGUCCAUGGCGAAAAUGUUGUUGAAGCUAUAUCAACUGCAGUUCUGCAAUCUCAUGAUCUGAGGAAGGUUCUUCCAGUGGGUGUGAUAGUUGGCGUAACUUUAGCGUCCUUGAGAAACUACUUCCAUGUUGGUGUCUCUAAGCAUGACAACCUUACAAAAGCUGCGGUCAAGUCAGGAAUUUUGGAUGAGGAUCUUAUUGUUCAGGAUGCUGACGAAGGAAAUAUGGAUAAUCUUUCCACACAGAAAGAGGCAAAUGCUGAUCUUUGCACACAAAAAGAAGCAAAUACAGAUUAUUAUAUCGAAAAACCCGGUGAGCACAAGCAACAGGAGAUAACAAAGUCAGAUGGUAAAGGCAUGAUGGUUGGGGCUGUAACGGCUGCCCUAGGUGCUUCUGCAUUCGUAGCACAUCAUCAACAAAAGAAUGCUGAAGAGCAUGAUAGCAGCACACAGCAUAAUCUUGACGACACUGAACUGGAAAAGAGCCAGAACAACUUAGUGAGAAGCUUUGCUGAGAAAGCCAUGUCUGUUGCAGCUCCGGUGGUACCCAAGAAGGGUGGUGGUGAACUUGAUCACGAUAGGCUCGUUGCUGUUCUAGCUGAACUAGGGCAAAGAGGUGGAAUUUUGAAAUUUGUGGGGAAACUUGCUCUGCUCUGGGGAGGUAUUCGUGGUGCUUUGAGCUUGACUGACAGGCUCAUCUUGUUCUUACGUAUCAGCGAACGUAACUUAUUUCAGAGGAUCAUGGGAUUUUCCUUCAUGGUACUUGUUCUAUGGUCUCCUGUUGUGAUUCCUUUACUGCCAACUCUUGUUCAAAGCUGGACAAUAAGCGCUUCAACAGGAAUUGUUGGGGAUGCUUGCAUUGUUGGUCUGUAUGUCUCUAUAAUGAUACUUGUAAUGCUAUGGGGAAAAAGAAUACGUGGCUAUGAGAAUCCAGUUGAGCAAUAUGGGAUGAAUCUUGCAUCUUCAUCAAGGCUGCAAGAAUUUUUCCAAGGUCUUGUCGGAGGCGUGUCUGUCGUUUGGCUGGUGCAUUCGAUAAGCAUUUUACUUGGCUUUGCAACUUUUCGAGAAGGGACGCCUUCGUUCUUACCAUUUGAUCUUCUCAAAUCUUCAAGAAAUGUAUUGUUGCCAGCUCUUAGAGGGUUUAUCACAGCAACUAGCAUUUCUGUGGUGGAAGAAGUGGUUUUCAGAUCAUGGCUUCCAGAAGAAGUUGCAGUUGAUCUUGGUUACUACAAUGCUAUUCUGAUGUCUGGAGUUGCUUUUUCUCUGAUUCACCGGUCUCUACCUUCAGUACCAGGCUUCGUGCUACUUUCCCUGGUGCUUUUUGGGCUUAAGCAAAGAACGCAAGGGAAUCUCGCUGCACCAAUUGGCCUGCGAUCUGGAAUUAUGACUGCUAGUUAUCUCACACAAACCACUCGCAUUAUUGCAUUCAAACCUGAAACUCCAUUCUGGAUGAUUAGUACCUAUCAUCUUCAUCCGUUUGAUGGUGCGGUUGGCUUAAGUAUUUGUGCGUUACUUGCGAUCCUUUUCUUCCCUCAAAGACCUGUUCAGAAGGAUACAUCUGUGUCAUGA
rnacentral:rRNA from 1 species